rnacentral:rRNA from 1 species
UAGGGAAUAUUAGUAAUGGGCGAAAGCCUGAACUAGCAACACCGCGUGUGCGAAGAAGUCUUUCGGGAUGUAAACCCUUGUUGUACGGGACGAAGGAAGUGACGGUACCGUACGAGGAAGCCCCGGCAAACUACGUGCCAGCAGCCACGGUAAUACGUAGGGGGCAAGCGUUAUCCGGAUUUAUUGGGCGUAAAGCGUGCGUAGGCGGUUUAUUAGGUCAGGCGUAAAAGAUCACAGCUCAACUGUGUAGGGCGUUUGAAACCGGUAGACUUGAAUACGGUAGAGGCAGGUGGAAUUCCAUGUGUAGCGGUGGAAUGCGUAGAUAUAUGGAGGAACACCAAUGGCGAAGGCAGCCUGCUGGGCCGGAAUUGACGCUGAGGCACGAAAGCGUGGGGAGCAAACA